UCUUCAGUAGCUUAGUGGUAGAGCGGUCGGCCAUUAACUGAUUGGUCGUAGGUUCAAAUCGUACUUGAAGAG
rfam:Beta vulgaris subsp. vulgaris chromosome 7, whole genome shotgun sequence.